UACUCCUCUUGGAGUCUUCUCAGCGAGCCUAGGACAAGGGAGAAACAUGUACCUGAAAGUUCAUAAGGAAGUAUGCUGAGAAAUUCAAAAUUCAAAGCGAAGGCUCACUUCUACUAGGGGAGAAAUAUUCCUGAAAGUUUUUCCUCAAGGCCUGAACAGUUAAAGCUUGAAAUGAAGGCUGACAUGAGUAAAGAAGCAUGUUAUCCCGUCCUGUCUUGCUGUGACAUGCUAUGUAA